UACGGAGGGAGCUAGCGUUGUUCGGAAUUACUGGGCGUAAAGCGCACGUAGGCGGCUUUGUAAGUUAGAGGUGAAAGCCCGGGGCUCAACUCCGGAAUUGCCUUUAAGACUGCAUCGCUAGAAUUGUGGAGAGGUAAGUGGAAUUCCGAGUGUAGAGGUGAAAUUCGUAGAUAUUCGGAAGAACACCAGUGGCGAAGGCGACUUACUGGACGGUUUCUGACACUAAGACUCGAAAGCGUGGGGAGCAAACAGG
rnacentral:rRNA from 1 species